CGCCUUGCCAGCCCGCUCAGAAACUACAAAGGAAGUUGACGGGGGCCCGCACAAGCGGAGGAGCAUGUGGUUUAAUUCGAUGAUACGCGAGGAACCUUACCUGGGCUCGAACGUAAGAUGACUGUAGGUGAAAGCUUACAUCUCUUCGGAGCAUUUUACGAGGUGCUGCAUGGUUGUCGUCAGCUCGUGCCGUGAGGUGUCGGGUUAAGUCCCAUAACGAGCGCAACCCCUACCUUUAGUUGCCAUCAGGUUAAGCUGGGGACUCUAAAGGAACUGCCUACGCAAGUAGUGAGGAAGGCGGGGAUGACGUCAAAUCAGCACGGCCCUUACGUCCAGGGCUACACACGUGCUACAAUGGCCGAUACAGAGGGCAGCUACCUGGUGACAGGAUGCAAAUCUCCAAAGUCGGUCUCAGUUCGGAUCGGAGUCUGCGACCCGACUCCGUGAAGUUGGAUUCGCUAGUAAUCGCGCAUCAGCCAUGGCGCGGUGAAUACGUUCCCGGGCCUU
rnacentral:rRNA from 1 species